rnacentral:rRNA from 1 species
UACACACCGCCCGUCAAGCCACGAAAUGGGGGGCAUCCGAAGUCGCCAAGCUAACCGCAAGGGAGCAGGCGCCGAAGAUGAACUCCGUGAUUGGGACU